rnacentral:pre_miRNA from 1 species
ACUAGUUUCCUUUCUUUAGGAACCGGAUCCCCUUCGGACCCAAAUGAAUUGAGUCCAAAGAUCAAAUGAUCCGAGCCAUUGAAAUUCGAUCCAACGGCUGCAAUUUUUAUAACUUUUAGAGGACCCCUUGUUUGUAGUCGUUGGAUCAAAUUUCAAUGACUCGGAUCAUUUGAUGAGUGGGCUCAGUUUCUUUGGAUCCCGAAGGGAUCCGGUUCCUAUUUUUUAAAACAUAG